GACGAACGCUGGCGGCGUGCCUAAGACAUGCAAGUCGUGCGGGCGCAAGCGAUGAAGUCUUCUUCAAAGCUUGCGUCAGCGGCGGACGGGUGAGUAACGCGUGGGUAACCUGCCCUGGAGACCGGGACAACGUCCCGAAAGGGACGCUAAUACCGGAUAAGCCCACCCCGCGCAUGGCGGGGAGGAAAAGGACGGUCCGCUCCAGGAUGGGCCCGCGUCCCAUUAGCUAGUUGGCGGGGUAACGCCCACCAAGGCUACGAUGGGUAGCCGGCCUGAGAGGGGUGGUCGGGCCACACUGGGGACUCGAGACACGGGCCCCAGACUCCUACGGGAGGCAGCAUG
rnacentral:rRNA from 1 species